rnacentral:lncRNA from 1 species
AUGGGAAUGACUUUGUGCCCCCAGUGCAGACUGUGCCCCCAGUGCAGACUGUGUCCCCAGUGAAGGCCCCAGUCUCACAAAAGGUGAAGAAGGCCCAGGCGAAGAAGGUGGCAGAGGGGCCAUACAUCAAAAAGCCCCUCAACGCCUUCAUGCUGUUCCUGAAGGCGAACAGGAAGUCUGCGGAGAAGGAGCUGGGCGUGAGGACGAGCGCUGUGGUGAACAAAUUCCUUGGUCAACAGUGGAAAUCAUUGUCACCAAAGGAGAAAUCCAAGUUUUUUACUAUGGCCAAAAAGGAAUCUUUAAUCCACUCCAAUGAGAACCCCGACUGGAGCAACAAAGACAACUAUAGAAUGAAGAGGAAACGAUGUCGGACCAAAGCCUGAAACAUGGACAUCCUCAAAACAUCAUCUUCCUGAACUGUCCUUUGUUUUGAUGGAGUUGAUGGUCCAUCCAACUGAGGGGUAUUCCAUAAAGGAGGGUUAACAAACUGAGUUUAUCCAUAAACUCUGUGUCAACAUACCCCGCGGUGGGAAACUCUGGGUAUCUGAUUCAUUACAGCUGGUAUGAAGUGGGUCAAUCAACCCUGCGUAGGUAAACCUUGGAUUACGUACGUGCACGCGCACGAUAAAAAGCCACCAUCAAUGGAUCAGAGAUUUACUCGAGCUGCCAUGACAACCAAACGGAAGAGUGUUAGGUUCUGUUUAUUUUAACCCUUGGGUCCUCUUUUUGUUGUGUCUUUGUUUAUUUGGUUUGUGUUAACUCGUCUGUGUUUCAGGGAUUCCUGUUUGUGGCUCCACCCCUCAGUGAUGUCUGUGUGCUUGGCUGGUGAAUGAUUAGCUCCCUCAUGUUUUCACCCAGGUGUGGCCCAUUCCCAAUCAGGCCUCCUCCACUAUUUAGCUGAGUGUUUGGACACAGUAUGGCUGCGGGAUCAUUGUGUGUUAAUGUGUGUGAUGUCAGGUUUGUUGUUACCUUCCUCGUGUCUG